CAUCAUUUGUCAUUAUACUUCACUUCAAAUAGCAUUGAAUUUUUUUGUGAACCUGCCUUCAUCAUGCUGGUUAAGGAAGUUAUGUUAUGGAACUAAGCUUUGUAGGACUAUGUGUGACAAGAUACCUUUGAAAGAUCUGCUUCACUACAUGGAACCGAGAGUUCAUUAAUGUUAGAGAUUUUGGGAAAUUAAUUUCUCAGUAAUGUGUCUUAAGUUACAAAACAUGAAGUGUCUUACUUGUGGAACAUUGGUAGACUAUGAUAAAGAAAACAAUUAUAAUCUUUUUUUGGUUUUAAUAAUAAUUCCAAAUCAUUUUUAAUUAAAAA
rnacentral:lncRNA from 1 species